AUACCCUAACAACACACAACAUUCCAGGAAUGUACUACCAAAGUUCUAUCAAUAUUUGAAUGUCCUGGACAUUUAGGGAACAUUCGGUGAACAUCUGUUUAAAUUAUUCCUGGAAUGUUACCAUAAGACAUUCUGUGAACAUACUACCAAUGUUCCUAUAUUUUAAGUUGCGAAAUAAUACAUACGUGUAAGAGAUACAACAUUACUUAUAACAUACCAAACAAACUAAGUGACAUUUUAGGCCUACAGUGCAAUAAUAUGUCAAAUUUAAAGAGUUUCCCAAGAUUAUAAACAUACAAAUGUAAUAAAAAUUAUUGUUCGCGAAUAUUCAAUUUGGAAUGCGAUUUUGUUAAUAAAAAAAAAUACUUAUAACUUAUGCAAAACCCAAGAGAGGCAUUUAUAUUUAUUUCUUUUGCGUUCAUUUUCAAAUUCGCCGUGCAUAUAUUUUUGUGCAUGGCGCUUGAGAGGGCAUCACGUGACUAAAAACGACCAACCAACGACCUCGCUUCGGCCAUCUUGGCCUUGGCAUCUUCAUCUUGGCGACCUUGCCUUGCCGUGGAUUGUUUUUAGUUGUUUGUAUUAUUUGUGCUUUUUAAGAAUAUUUUUUUAAUUCGGAUACUUUGUAAUAGCUUUAAUAGUAUUAUUAACAUAGUGCAUAAAAUGGUGUCCUGUUUUUAACGCAGUUGGAGUAGCAGAAACAAAUGUAGAUAAAAAAAUCUGCAGGAAUAACGUUUCAAUUAUGACAGAAGCUCAAAACAAAUGACUGUGAAUGAAAAGCCCUAUUAAAAGCUUUCCAGAAGAUCCUGCGAAGAAGACAUGAAGUAUAGAUCAGAUUUGUUAAUAGAGGAGUAUGUUCAAAACACUUUUUAGAAAAAGAUAUUGACAGAACUUCACUUUCAUCUGUUCGUUUGAGAGACUGUGCUGUUCAAAUAGCUUAUGUCACACAGAAUCAGCUGAGAGAAGUGGUCUACAAAAAACCAGAAAGGAAACGGAAUAUGUGGCUACGAAAAGCAAAAGAAAGGUUUACAAAGCAAAUGUGACACAUUUUUUUAUAAUAUUUAGGAAUGUCAGCAAAUUACAUUAAAAAAUGUAUGUAAAGAUUUUUUGCAAUAAAAAUGUUUAUAUUUA
rnacentral:lncRNA from 1 species